rnacentral:lncRNA from 1 species
AUGAUGGUAAUAUUUAUUGUGUCCCGUAUUUAUGGUCUUUUUUCUAUUUGUCUUUCCUCAAAGGAAAGGAAGGAAGAAAGCUCGUCCACCACCAUCCCUAGUUCAAACCCUGAUGAUGCCAUAACCAAUGCUGAACCCAGUUCUUCAACCAAGGAUGUACAUGAAUUGGAGGAGAAGAAAGAAGAAGAAAGCAUGUCCACUAUCAUCCCUAGUCCAAGCCCUGAAGAUGCCAUAACCAAUGUUGAAGCCAGUUCUUCAACCAAGGAUACAAAUGAACUGGAGAAGGGGAAAGAAGAAGAAAAUAUGUCCACCAAAAUCCCUGGUUCAAGCCCUGAUGAUGCCCUAAACAAUGUUGAACCCAGUUCUUCAAUCAAAGAUAUACAUGAAUUGGAGGAGAAGAAAGAAGAAAUCACUUCCACCAACAUCCCUUCAGCCAGUUCAAGCCCUGACAAUGCCACAAAUGAGAUCAAACUCAAUAUUUUAACGAAGGAUAUGAAUGAAUUGAAGGAGAAGAAAGAAGAAGAAAUCACUUCCACCAACAUCCCUUCAGUUGAUUCAAGCUCUGACAGUGCCAUAAAUCAGGUCGAACUCAGUUUUUUAACCAAGGAUGCAAUUGAAUUAAAGGAGAAGGAAGCCCCUGAGAUUGCAUCCACCAUAGUCUCUCCAGCUGGGCCUAGCCCUGAAAAAUCCACAACUGAUGUAAAACCAGAUUCCACAAACCCAGAUGCAGACAACUAGAGGUAAGGUGGUUUGCCCAGGAUCUUCUGUUUUUAAUUCAUUCAGCUGCUUUGUGAUAUCA